rnacentral:rRNA from 1 species
GACACGGCCCAGACUCGUACGGGAGGCAGCAGUGGGGAAUUUUCCGCAAUGGGCGCAAGCCUGACGGAGCAACGCCGCGUGUGGGAUGAAGGCCUGUGGGUUGUAAACCACUUUUCUCAGGGACGAACACAAUGACGGUACCUGAGGAAUCAGCCUCGGCUAACUCUGUGCCAGCAGCCGCGGUAAGACAGAGGAGGCAAGCGUUAUCCGGAAUUAUUGGGCGUAAAGCGUCCGUAGGUGGUCUAGCAAGUCUGGGGUUAAAGCCCGGAGCCCAACUCCGGAUCGGCCUUGGAAACUGCCAGACUCGAGUAAGGUAGGGGUUGCGGGAAUUCCCGGUGUAGCGGUAAAAUGCGUAGAUAUCGGGAAGAACACCAGCGGCGAAAGCGCGCAACUGGGCCAUUACUGACACUGAGGGACGAAAGCUAGGGGAGCGAAUGGGAUUAGAUACCCCAGUAGUCCUAGCCGUAAACGAUGGUGACUAGAUGUGGCUCGUAUUGACCCGAGCCGUGUCGUAGCUAACGCGAUAAGUCACCCGCCUGGGGAGUACGCACGCAAGUGUGAAACUCAAAGGAAUUGACGGGGGCCCGCACAAGCGGUGGAGCAUGUGGAUUAAUUCGAUGCAACGCGAAGAACCUUACCAGGGCUUGACAUCCUGCGAACCCCGCUGAAAGGUGGGGGUGCCUUCGGGAGCGCAGAGACAGGUGGUGCAUGGCUGUCGUCAGCUCGUGUCGUGAGAUGUUGGGUUAAGUCCCGCAACGAGCGCAACCCGCGUCCUUAGUUGCCAGCAUUUAGUUGGGCACUCUGGGGAGACUGCCGGUGACAAGCCGGAGGAAGGUGCGGAUGACGUCAAGUCAGCAUGCCCCUUACCGCCCUGGGCGUCACACGUGCUACAAUGGCCAGCACAAAGGGUAGC